rnacentral:rRNA from 1 species
AUUGAACGCUGGCGGCAGGCCUAACACAUGCAAGUCGAGCGGGGUUUUCGGACCUAGCGGCGGACGGGUGAGUAAUGCGUAGGAAGCUACCCGAUAGAGGGGGAUACCAGUUGGAAACGACUGUUAAUACCGCAUAAUGUCUACGGACCAAAGUGUGGGACCUUCGGGCCACAUGCUAUCGGAUGCGCCUACGUGGGAUUAGCUAGUUGGUUAGGUAAUGGCUCACCAAGGCGACGAUCCCUAGCUGGUUUGAGAGGAUGAUCAGCCACACUGGAACUGAGACACGGUCCAGACUCCUACGGGAGGCAGCAGUGGGGAAUAUUGGACAAUGGGCGCAAGCCUGAUCCAGCCAUGCCGCGUGUGUGAAGAAGGCCUUCGGGUUGUAAAGCACUUUCAGUAGGGAGGAAGGGUUAAGUGUUAAUAGUACUUAACUUUGACGUUACCUACAGAAGAAGCACCGGCUAACUCUGUGCCAGCCGCCGCAGUAACAC